rnacentral:rRNA from 1 species
UACGUAGGGUGCAAGCGUUGUCCGGAAUUAUUGGGCGUAAAGAGCUCGUAGGCGGUUUGUCGCGUCUGCUGUGAAAACUCGGGGCUUAACCCCGGGCCUGCAGUGGGUACGGGCAGACUAGAGUGCGGUAGGGGAGAUUGGAAUUCCUGGUGUAGCGGUGGAAUGCGCAGAUAUCAGGAGGAACACCGAUGGCGAAGGCGGCCCACGUGGGCAGUCACUGACGCUGAGGCGCGAAAGCUCGGGGAGCGAACGGG